rnacentral:rRNA from 1 species
CAAGUCGAACGAACCUUCGGGUUAGUGGCGGACGGGUGAGUAACGCGUGGGAAUCUGCCCUCAGGAGGGGGAUAACGGUUGGAAACGACCGCUAAUACCCCAUAUGCCGAUAGGUGAAAUGAAUUUCGCCUGAGGAUGAGCCCGCGUCUGAUUAGCUAGUUGGUAAGGUAAAGGCUUACCAAGGCUUCGAUCAGUAGCUGGUCUGAGAGGAUGAUCAGCCACACUGGGACUGAGACACGGCCCAGACUCCUACGGGAGGCAGCAGUGGGGAAUUUUCCGCAAUGGGCGAAAGCCUGACGGAGCAACGCCGCGUGAGGGACGAAGGCCUCUGGGCUGUAAACCUCUUUUCUCAAGGAAGAAGAUAUGACGGUACUUGAGGAAUAAGCCACGGCUAAUUCCGUGCCAGCAGCCGCGGUAAUACGGGAGUGGCAAGCGUUAUCCGGAAUUAUUGGGCGUAAAGCGUCCGCAGGCGGCCUUUCAAGUCUGCUGUUAAAGCGUGGAGCUUAACUCCAUUAUGGCAGUGGAAACUGAUAGGCUUGAG